rnacentral:rRNA from 1 species
GACGAACGCUGGCGGCGUGCUUAACACAUGCAAGUCGAACGGUAAGGCCCUUCGGAGUACACGAGUGGCGAACGGGUGAGUAACACGUGGGUGAUCUGCCCUGCACUUCGGGAUAAGCCUGGGAAACUGGGUCUAAUACCGGAUAGGACUCCUGGCUUCAUGGUUGGGGGUGUAAAGCUUUUGCGGUGUGGGAAUGGGCCCGCGGCCUAUCAGCUUGUUGGUGGGUAAUGGCCUACCAAGGCGACGACGGGUAGCCGGCCUGAGAGGGUGACCGGCCACACUGGGACUGAGAUACGGCCCAGACUCCUACGGGAGGCAGCAGUGGGGAAUAUUGCACAAUGGGCGCAAGCCUGAUGCAGCGACGCCGCGUGAGGGAUGACGGCCUGGUU